GGGUCAGUAGGUUGGUCGUGCCACCGGUACGUACUGGUCUCACUGACUCCUCCUUCCUGAAGAACCGUAAUGCCAUUAAUUUGGUGUUGCGGGGAAACAGGACUGUUACUUUGAAAAAAUUAGUGUGUUUAAAGCAAGCUAACGCUUGAAUACAUUAGCAUGGAAUAAUGAAAUAGGACGAUCGAUCCUAUUUUGUUGGUUUCUAGGAUUGACGUA
rnacentral:rRNA from 1 species